AUCUUCGUGACGAUGACAUUCCUU
rnacentral:piRNA from 1 species